rnacentral:pre_miRNA from 1 species
UCUCUUACAUAGUGCUGCGGUCGUCACUUCACGUCACGUCAAAAGACGUGACGUGACGACCGCAGCACUAUGUAAGAGA